UAAAAAUGUUUACAAAAAAUAACAUUGGCUCCACCUAUGUCUGGAAAAAUAAAACUUUGGUAAAUUAUAUAGCCUAGACUCAAACCAUUGCCAUGUAAGGCGAAUUCAAACAUACAAAUAGAGCUACUUUUAAAAUGCACAAAAGCAAGAAUAUUAUUCAUGGGAACAGACAAAAAAAAGGACCCUACGCAAAUAUAAUGUAUAUACAACAAAUUGACACCAACGCAGCCCAAACUCAGCGCUCGAAUUCCUUAUGCAUGAGACGACACCGACUUGGGACUUGGGCAGCGGAUCGCACAUUAUUUGGCAGGUGCCAGUGAAGCAAAACUCAAAACUUUCUUUGCCCGAAGGGCGGGCACACGCCUCUAUUAAAUUUGUAAAAUUAUUAGAUAUGCGGGACAUGUAGCAAGCGAUUAACACGCAAAGCCGCCAAAAAAUAA